UACGUAGGGGGCAAGCGUUGUCCGGAUUUAUUGGGCGUAAAGAGCGUGUAGGCGGCCAGAUAGGUCCGUUGUGAAAACUCGAGGCUCAACCUCGAGACGCCGAUGGAAACCAUUUGGCUAGAGUCCGGAAGAGGAGAGUGGAAUUCCUGGUGUAGCGGUGGAAUGCGCAGAUAUCAGGAGGAACACCAAUAGCGAAGGCAGCUCGCUGGGACGGUACUGACGCUGAGACGCGAAAGCGUGGGGAGCGAACAGG
rnacentral:rRNA from 1 species